CUACGGCGGCAGCAGUGGGGAAUAUUGCACAAUGGGCGCAAGCCUGAUGCAGCCAUGCCGCGUGUAUGAAGAAGGCCUUCGGGUUGUAAAGUACUUUCAGCGGGGAGGAAGGGAGUAAAGUUAAUACCUUUGCUCAUUGACGUUACCCGCAGAAGAAGCACCGGCUAACUCCGUGCCAGCAGCCGCAGUAAUACGGAGGGUGCAAGCGUUAAUCGGAAUUACUGGGCGUAAAGCGCGCGCAGGCGGUUUGUUAAGUCAGAUGUGAAAUCCCCGGGCUCAACCUGGGAACUGCAUCUGAUACUGGCAAGCUUGAGUCUCGUAGAGGGGGGUAGAAUUCCGGGUGUAGCGGUGAAAUGCGUAGAGAUCUGGAGGAAUACCGGUGGCGAAGGCGGCCCCCUGGACGAAGACUGACGCUCAGGUGCGAAAGCGUGGGGAGCAAACAGGAUUAGAUACCCUCGUAGUC
rnacentral:rRNA from 1 species